AGCGAACGCUGGCGGCAGGCCUAACACAUGCAAGUCGAACGAACCUUUCGGGGUUAGUGGCGGCCGGGUGAGUAACACGUGGGAACGUGCCUUUAGGUUCGGAAUAACUCAGGGAAACUUGUGCUAAUACCGAAUGUGCCCUUCGGGGGAAAGAUUUAUCGCCUUUAGAGCGGCCCGCGUCUGAUUAGCUAGUUGGUUGAGUUAAUGGCUCAACAAGGCGACGAUCAGUAGCUGGUCUGAGAGGAUGAUCAGCCACAUUGGGAAUGAGACACGGCCCAAAAUCCUACGGGAGGCAGCAGUGGGGAAUAUUGAGCAAUGGGCGAAAGACUGACGCAGCCAUGCCGCGUGAAUGAUGAAGGGCUUAGGAUUGUAAAAUUCUUUCACCGGGGACGAUAAUGACGGUACCCGGAGAAGAAGCCCCGGCUAACUUCGUG
rnacentral:rRNA from 1 species